rnacentral:rRNA from 1 species
AGAGCGAACGCUGGCGGCAGGCCUAACACAUGCAAGUCGAGCGCGUGUAGCAAUACACGAGCGGCAGACGGGAGAGUAACACGUGGGAACGCGCCCUUCGGUUCGGAAUAACUCAGGGAAACUUGAGCUAAUACCGGAUACGCCCUUACGGGGAAAGAUUUAUUGCCGAAGGAACGGCCCGCGUCCGAUUAGCUAGUUGGUGAGGUAACGGCUCACCAAGGCGACGAUCGGUAGCUGGUCUGAGAGGAUGACCAGCCUCACUGGGACUGAGACACGGCCCAGACUCCUACGGGAGGCAGCAGUGGGGAAUAUGGACAAUGGGCGCAAGCCUGAUCCAGCCAUGCCGCGUGGAUGAUGAAGGCCUUAGGGUUGUAAAGUCCUUUUAACGGGGAAGUAUAAUGACGGUACCCGUAGAAUAAGCCCGGCUAACUUCGCGCCAGCAGCCGC